rnacentral:tRNA from 1 species
GGCGAGGUAGCUCAGCUGGCUAGAGCGGAGGAUUCAUAACCCUCAGGUCGAGAGUUCAAGUCUCUCUCUCGCCA